rnacentral:lncRNA from 1 species
GGCGGAGCAGGUGCAGGAGCAGGCGGCCAGCUGUGGGCCCCGCCCGCGGACGUGGGCUCUCUCCACCCUUGAUCGCCCUUCCCCGCACCUGCCAGCUCAUAGGACCUCCAGUCGCCGGAACUGCACUUCCCUCCGUUCCUUCCUACCAUCUGGUCCGAAGGUAUUCCCUAAGGUGUGUUUCACCAGGAGCGGGUUCCUGGGUGGACUGUGUCGGACUGUAACCUUCUACAAUGCAAAAGAAUCACAAAGCCUGAGAGACAGCGAGAACUCAGAGGGUAUGGAAGCCAGCUUCCCAGGACAAGCAACCACUGCAAACACACUGGAAACCAGCCGAGAACCAGAAUCAAGUUUCUUUUUCUGGGUAAAACUUGAUAGUUAACUUUGAGUGUCACAUAGUUCGCUCUUUCAUUCACUCCAUGCAUUAAUUCAUUCAACAAAUCUGCCACGUGCUCAUCUAACAACAAAUCUGACAGACGGACACAGUUCUGUGUGCUCAAAGGGGACAGAGUUUCUGCCCUGGGAGGAGCUUCCUUUCUACGGAGGUAUGCAAGACUUUCUUUGUAGUAUAAGAUGCUGCGAAUCUUUGUAGCAUCUGGAACUAAGAGAUUAACCUCCCUCUGCAACGCUCUGUUGCUCCUCCUCUCCUGAGGACAUAAAAGAAUGAGAGAGCUAAGUCUCUAUCUCACACCAACUGAUAAGUCCCCCUGGGAGGAAUGUUAGCAGAGGUCUAUUAAAAACUUCUCAGGUGAUACUAAGAAGUCAGGGUCCAGAACCACAGAUCUAGAGUUCUAAAAUGCCUUCCAGUUUAUUCCAUUGUUGAGGGCUUUGUGGAAACUAAUGUUUGUGUUUUGGUUGUAGAGCAAGGCAAAGGAUGUACAAGAGCAGAGCAGAACAAGUGCUACUUGUUUUUUUUUUCUUUUUUCUUUUUUUUUUUUUUGGUGGGGAGGAGGGGGUACCAGGGAUUGAACUAGGAGCACUCGACCACAAAGGCACAUCCCUAGCCCUAUUUUGUAUUUUAUUUAGAGAUAGGGUCUCAUUGAGCUUCUUAUCCCCUGGCUUUUUGCUGAGGCUGGCUUUGACAUGCCUGCCUAAGCCUCCAGAGCCACUGGGAUUACAGGCGUGUGCCACCAUGCCCUGCUCAAGUGCCACUUUUGAUCAAAUAACUUUUCUAUAAAGUAAAGAAAGACACCAUGGAGCAUUUCCUGUAGCAGAUCUUUCCUCUGUAAAAUAGAAUGAAUGGGACCUGGUGGGAGAAGGUAAUGACCAGUAAGUUUUGCGAUUUGGGUUAAAAGAAUAAUGAAACCAUACAUCUGAGAUGCAUGAUGUGCCAGAGCCAGGAGAUUCCCAGAAGAGCAUCAUUUGAAUUCCUGAAGAGAAAGGGCAUAGGAGGGAUGCCUGACAGAGAACAGCCUCUCCCAAGGUGACAAACAUCAAGGCUCAACCCUUUCAUCUAUUUUAAAAUCCCUGGGUGAAACAUGCCAAGAUGAGACACGGUGAUUAAAUCUGUUCCCAAACUGAUGUAAGUGCCAGGCUUAACCCUGAUACUUGCUCAUGCCUAUGGAUUUUGAAAUGAAUAUGUUAGAGUCCUGUGUGUGUGUCAUCCUGGGCGAGGCUAUUCUCUGACACCAGAUCUCUUUUAUGGUCUUUCUCUUUACUAAUGUUUUAUUUUUCUCAUAGGCUAGGAUCAUGAAACAAAUGUGUGAUGUCUUAAUUGUAUAGUUACUGGUGGGUAGAGAUGCUUCUUAAUGUGGAAAAAAAUUAGAACUAAGAAAAUAAUUUCUGCCUCAAAUUAUAAUAUUGUGGUAUUAGGAUAAACCACUUAAAAUAUAAAUUUGACUAUCUUUAACAUGAUAUGUAAAAAUAACCCAAAUGAAACAGCUUCAAGUAAGCAGCUGACAAAAGGUAAAUUACUAUUAAAUCAACUAUAAAAUAAUAUAAUACCAGCUAAUCAUUAUUAUCAAGCUAUUUUAAUAUAAAAUUCAAACAAAGUUGUGUCUAGAGACAGUCUUUUAUGAAGACCUUGGUAAACAACUUUUAAUUUAAUAGGAAAUGGUUUAGUUCAUAAAUGUCCCCAGGAUAAUUGACUGUUCUUUUGGAAGAUCAUUGCUCAUUAUUCAAUCUCUCUUUGGCCAUCAUGUUACUAGUUGGGCACAUGACCAAAUAAGGAUGAUUUUCCCAGCCAGGCUUUUAGCUAGAAGAGGUUAGAUAACUAAAUUCAGACUAAUGGGAGGAAAAGGGAGAUAGGAUACUGUGGUGGGUGUCCUGAAAGGAAGGGAAUGUGCUCAUCUUCUCCCCUUCUACUCUCAUGAUAGGGAUAUGGGCAUGGCGACGCUGAGCCAAUCUUGGACCACGGUGGCUAAACAUUAUGGACCAAUGGUAAAAUAUGUGGAUGAAAGAAGACUGGAUUAUUGGAUGAUCUCAUGCAGUAGCCUCUGCAUUAGUCCUAUAAUGUCUACCUCCAAUCUGUUCCACAAAGAAUAAAGUUUGUUACAUGAAGC